rnacentral:tRNA from 1 species
GCGCGAUUAGCUCAGCUGGAUAGAGCGCUGCCCUCCGGAGGCAGAGGCCGCAGGUUCGAAUCCUGCAUCGCGCG